CGGACGGGUGAGUAACGCGUGAGAAUCUAGCCUCAGGUCGGGGACAACCACUGGAAACGGUGGCUAAUACCGGAUGAGCCUUUGGGUAAAAGAUUAAUUGCCUGGGGAAGAGCUCGCGUCUGAUUAGCUAGUUGGUGUGGUAAGAGCGCACCAAGGCGACGAUCAGUAGCUGGUCUGAGAGGAUGAUCAGCCACACUGGGACUGAGACACGGCCCAGACUCCUACGGGAGGCAGCAGUGGGGAAUUUUCCGCAAUGGGCGAAAGCCUGACGGAGCAAUACCGCGUGAGGGAGGAAGGCUCUUGGGUCGUAAACCUCUUUUCUCAGGGAAGAACAAAAUGACGGUACCUGAGGAAUCAGCAUCGGCUAACUCCGUGCCAGCAGCCGCGGUAAUACGGAGGAUGCAAGCGUUAUCCGGAAUGAUUGGGCGUAAAGCGUCCGCAGGUGGCAGUGCAAGUCUGCUGUCAAAGGUCAAGGCUUAACUUUGAACAGGCAGUGGAAACUGCACAGCUAGAGUGCGGUGGGGGCAGAGGGAAUUCCCGGUGUAGCGGUGAAAUGCGUAGAGAUCGGGAAGAACACCAGUGGCGAAAGCGCUCUGCUAGGCCGCAACUGACACUCAGGGACGAAAGCUAGGGGAGCGAAUGGGAUUAGAUACCCCAGUAGUC
rnacentral:rRNA from 1 species